rnacentral:rRNA from 1 species
GGAAUACGCUCUGGAAACGGAGAACAAAUCCCGAUGUACAGGAAGGAGGCAUCUUCUUUCUGUGAAACAUCCUCUAGGGGAUGGGGCGCGGAUGGACCUGCGGUGCAUUAGUUGGUUGGCGGGGUAAAGGCCCACCAAGACGAUGAUGCAUAGCCGGCCUGAGAGGGCGGACGGCCACAUUGGGACUGAGACACGGCCCAGACUCCUGCGGGAGGCAGCAGUAGGGAAUUUUCGUCAAUGGGCGCAAGCCUGAACGAGCGAUGCCGCGUGAGUGAAGAAGGCCUUCGGGUCGUAAAGCUCUGUUGCGGGGGAAAAAAGGCAGCAUCAGGAAAUGGGUGCUGACUGAUGGUGCCCCGCCAGAAAGUCACGGCUAACUACGUGCCAGCAGCCGCGGUAAUACGUAGGUGGCGAGCGUUAUCCGGAAUGAUUGGGCGUAAAGGGUGCGCAGGCGGUCCUGCAAGUCUGGAGUGAAACGCAUGAGCUCAACUCAUGCAUGGCUUUGGAAACUGGAGGACUGGAGAGCAGGAGAGGGCGGUGGAACUCCAUGUGUAGCGGUAAAAUGCGUAGAUAUAUGGAAGAACACCAGUGGCGAAGGCGGCCGCCUGGCCUGUUGCUGACGCUGAGGCACGAAAGCGUGGGGAGCAAAUAGGAUUAGAUACCCUAGUAGUCCACGCCGUAAACGAAGAGGGCCAAGUGUUGGGG